UCCCACCAUCUGACUCACUCAGGCCACUAGGAGGGGCAACAGAAAUACCUUGGUCAGUAGUUCGCUCCCCCUUCGAGGACCUCAGGGUCACCGAUGGCCCUUCAGGCACACCACUGUCAACCAUAGCAGCCUGUGCCAUUCUUACUUUCUCUUCAGAGGGCUCAGCAGAAAACCCUCCUCUUCUCCCACCAGGAAGCAGGGGCAGCUGGAGGCAUGUGCCCCAGAAAGCUGUUCCCGGGAGGUGUCUCAGUGGACUUCCACCACACAGCUUCCUGAAGCGGGUGCCAGGAAAUUCUGCUGACCUCCAAGUGCUCCUGGCUAUCCUGCAUCAGCGGACACAGAUAUCUCCAGGAUCUCCAGGAUCUCAAAGCAGCCCAAGGAAGGGAAGAAGUAAGUUCCUUGAUCAGAAGCAGUGAGUGCUGUGCAGAUUACCAUGACACUGAACGAGGCAUUCCAGAAUCCACAGCAGCACUCCUGGCAGAGGCAAUAGAGACAGCAAAGGCUCUCCAAGGGAAGAAGAGAAAGAAAGGCAUCGGCUCUCAAACUGGAGCGCACGUCAGAAUCACCUAGAAGAUGAGGAAACUGAGCUACGAAAGACAGUAGCCUGCCCAGAGUUACCCAGGUGGCAGGCAAUGAAGCAAUCUGACCCCUGUUCAGAGGCCUGAGGGAAAUGCUGAGGGGUGGAGAGAGGGGCAGAGAGAGAGAGAGUGAGAAUGCACAGGAGUUCAGGACACAGACAUAUACAGAGGGAAGACCAUGUGAGGACAGAGGAAGGACAUGGCCAUCUACAAGCUAAGGAGAGAGGCCUCAGAAGAAAUCAAUCCAGCUAACAUCUUGAUCUCGGACCUCUAGCCUCCAGACCUUGAGGAACUGAAUUUCUGUUGUUUAAGCCAUGCAGCUCACAGUAUUUGUUACUGCAGCCCCAGCAAACUAAUACCCCAACAAAUG